GAAUUACAGACAUGAGCCACUGUACCCAGUCAGCAGCUAGUCCUUUCUUUGUCCUUGUAUAAAAUUUAAUGCCAUUCCCCUAGCUUUUCUCAUCAUUUUCAGAUAACCAAAGAUGCUUUCCAGUUCCAUGUCAUAGUCAAAUAUUUCAUCUUGGUUUUAAGUGAAAUCAUCUUCGUUUCUCCAGCUUAUGCUGCUGCAGAUGGAAAGUCUGAAGUCACAGAAAAGGCAGGAAUCCUUUGAAGGGAUAAAAGAAGUAAUCAGAGACCUGUCCAUGGUGACAAUAGGGUCAAGGUCACUUAACCUUCCUAGGCAUCAGUUUCCUCAGCUGUGAAAAGGGAAUAUUAACUUCAUUACAAGGUUAUCAGGAGGAUGGGUAACCAACCAUCUUCAGUCUGUAUGUCUCUCCAAUGCAUCCUGAAUCACUGGGAUUCCUUUGAAAAGAGAAAAUCAACCUUCUUCUUCCUGUUUCCUCCUCUGUCCUCUCUUCAUGGAUGAAUAAUCAUGUCUCCAUACCACAGGACAUUUCCCUCUGUGAAAAGUUUAAUUUCUGCAUUAAACCACUUGGCUUAAAAAAAAAUGAACUGGGAAGACAUUAUAACUCACAUUCCCCUCUGUGAAAAGUUUAAUUUCCAUAAACCUUAAAUCACUUGACUUAAAAAAAAAAUGAACUGGGAAAACUCUAACUGAGCAAUCUCUUGAGGAAGGACAAUGUUUACAGUAUGCAAAUAACCUAUUUGUCUGCUCCCCCUUUACGGAACUCCAGGGUCAAAGGGCUUCAUAGCUCGGGGGAAGGGAACCCAGAAGCCUGACAUGCUGGCAAACGAGUAAAAGUUUUUUACCCAUCAGACUUCUGGCUUUUCUCUCUCUCUGUGCAAACUGUUUGAAUGAAUGAUAAAAAUCACUGUUUAUAUACUCUGAAACGUUGUGAUUAAUGGAAAAAGGAUUUGUGAGGUGAGUCUUAAGCUAUAGAGAAUCUGUGAUACUUUGUGUUAAGAAUUUCUCUUUCUGUAUCUUUCUAUCAGAAAGAGGGGUACCUUAGGAUAAAAUGUGGGUCUAGGCCCAAAUGUCCAACAAUGAUAGACUGGGUUAAGAAAAUGUGGCACAU
rnacentral:lncRNA from 1 species